AGGUGACUGAAUCGCAGCUAAUUUUUGCUGCAAGUUGAGAUUUUUAUAAAACCUUUUAAUAAAUUCUUCAGCUGCAACAUCAACAUGACUAUGAUCAUCACCUUCUUCAUCCUUUAGGGGAAAUGGUGAAUCAGCGACUCUAAUUUUUUUCCCAAUGGGACUUUUUCCAAAUCCAGGAAAUGUCACUAAAGGAGAAGGAGAAGAAAAAGAAGAAGAAUCAACAUCAUUAAGAAUUUCUAGAACCUUUUGAAUGGUGGAAACAUCGUUGUGGUGGCGGCCGCGGUGAUAGUUAUUAUUUUUGUUGUGGAAUUUAAUGGCGGCGGGGCUGUUGCUGCAGCUGAACUCGUAGUCGUGGGGAGAGACGAAGGAGGCAGUCGAGUGGUGGCGGAGAGCUAGAGUGUUGGCUAUGGCUUUGAUGGCGGCGAGUUUGCUACGUUUUAACAAGAGAUUUAAUUCUGCUACCAUUUUGCUUUUGGCAAUGUUUUUUGUAAACAUGAAGAAAAUUAUACGUAGUGUGUUCCAUACUUUCUUUGUAACUACCAUUGUUUGGUUUGUUUCAAUUUCCAUUGUUGUAACGGUUUGAUAAGUUUGUGAGUGUUUUUGUUUUGUUGAGAGAGAGAAUGAGAAUGUGUGAACGUGUGUAAUUGGAUUGUGAUAUGGUUUGUGUUUGUGAUAGGAGAGUUGGAGUUAGGUGGUAUAUAAAGGGGUUCCAAUUACAAAUUAUAAUUAUCCACUAAGAAAUUAGAUUAUGAUAAAUUUAUAAUUAAUCGUUUCUAAAAAGAUAACAACACUACCUGUCAAAAAAAGAAACAAAAGAUAACAACACUAACUUAAAAGUUCAACUUUUCCAAUGUAUGAGCAUUGACUGCUAUGGCUAUACAAAUUCAGUUAUAUUGUGGUUGCCAAAUUAUAACUGUUCAAAAUUGUACAAAGGAAUGGCACAGUGCUUUUUACCUUGUUAGAAAAAUAGUACACUCUUUUUUCUUCAUGAGCUAAAAAACAAAAGUUAUUUACAUAGAUAACCUUAUCUUUUUUACUCAUUCAAGAUUUCUUCAUUUUUGCAUUUCUAAAAUAUGGAUGCAUACAUAUAUUAUGAGAAAGAGAGAUUAGUUAUAAGAAAUAUAUGAAGAAGAAAUGUAUGUUAUAUUAAUAUCGUGAUGUUAAUCCAUUACUUUGUGUCUAGGAUGAAAACUUGAGCAAUUUGAACCGCACCUUUUAUUCUCUUUAGGGUUUGCCUGGUUUUUGGUUGUAUUACUGAGCUUUUGUUCUGGGUAUCCAUAUGCAACUAAGUUUUUAUUCCCCGGUCCUUCUUUGACACAACUUGUGCUUGAGCGACUAGGAUUCUGGUGAAUUUAUUCUAUUAUAGUUUCUUCAAAAGAAAAAAAUUGAACCACGGCUACGUGUUUCUUAUAGUGGUCUAAAUGGCUAUAUGUGGGCUUAAUAUUAGAUAUGUCUAAAGCUUAUGGUAUGAUGAUUCAUUGAGUGGUCUUUUUUUAAGGCAGUUUUGAAUAGCAUCAAUUUUCAUCAACGCCUGAUUUCCUUGAUAAUGAAUUGUGUUUCUAAUGUGUCCUUUUCUGUUUUGUUGAAUAGUGGUCUUUGUCUACCAUUUGUGUCCAUUGUGUGCUGAAGUUUUUUGAGAUUUUUUUUUCUUCUUCUAGAGCUAUUGAAAGGAACACUCUCCAUGAAAUCCAUAUUGCAAGAGGAGUAUUUGUAUAUUCUCAUUUAUGAUUUACCUUCUCAGUGUACUAUUUGAUAUUUAAUGAAAUGGCUUAAGCUUUCCUUUGCUAAAAAAAAGAAAGAAAAAAAAAGAUCAGGCUAGACCACAACUGAUGUAUCCUUUUCAAUAUCUAAGGCGAUCAAGACUAGGUUGUGAAAUAAGAUGGGAGGUAAGUUAGUAAAUGAAAGCAUUAUAUUACUAUUUUAAAUUUUUAAGAUAUGUAAUUUAAUUUUUUUUUAUAUCAACUUUGUGUUUAAUGUUAUUACAACAUAAGUUUGACGUUUUGAAAUUCUAGCGCACUUGUUUUAAUAUGUUCUGUAUGAUGUUACGGUGUUUGCAAUGUUACGAUUAAUGUUUUAACAUCACACGAUAAACAGAAAUAAAAACAAGAAAAUAAAUGAUAGGAAAGUAAAUAACACAAUGAGUUUGUUGACCUAGUUCGGUGACAAACACACCUACUCUGGGGGCUACUAAGCCAGGAAGGAAAUCCACUAGUGUAGUCCUUAUUCAAUAGCUCUCAGCAAACUCCUCGUUUACACUAUAUGACAUAGGACCUACCCGUAUAGACUUCAACCAAGGAACUCCUAGAUCUGAGAUCUCAUCUCACUAUCCUAAUGAUCAGUCAAAGCCCCUAUGACCUAUCAGACCUAAACCAAAACAAAGUAGAAGUUACAUUCCAACACAAACAACUAGCACCUUGUUUCACAACUUCGGUGUAGUACAAAGGAGUAUCAAUACUCACACACAAUCCUAACAAGUAUCACAAACGAUACAAGAAAGAACACACGAUAUAUUCUAAACUUGCAUCACAAGCGAUACAAGAGCAUAAUACAUGAAGACUCAAACCCUAAAAAUCUAAACUUUUAGAAUGAUGGCUUGAAUAAACAAUUAGGUCUUGAAGUCUUCCUUAUAUACUGAAGCAGCUUGGGCUAAAUAAUUUGUUGGGCUUCAGCAAAAUGCAGAUCGGUUCAGCUUAAUCUGCAAAACAAUAAUCAGAAACAAAUCUGGAAAGUCCUAAAAUGUCGGAACAUUAUAGGAUCGUUCCAAACAAUAAUAAAUAUUUCCUAAAAUAUAAAAUACACUUUAGAAAUAUUCCACAACUGAUUCUUAGAAGUUAUGCGCGUUACUUGAUCAAUAAGAUAAGGAAAUAUUGUUUCCUUAAACAAUAAAGGGUGCGCGUAAAAACAGGCGAGAACUCAGGCACACUGAACCGUGCCAGGAUGUUGGAGCAUCAUAUCCAACAUCUUCCAAAGACGCCUAAACACAUGUUGAAACAUUGGUUCCAACUUACAUCAAGGAUAUUUGUUUUAGCAACAAUGCAGCCAAUACAAAUACCCAACACAUUUAUAUAUAUAUAUAUAUAUAUAUAUAUAUAUAUAUAUUAACAAUAAAAAAUGAGAUAUAUUACCACAAGGAUUAACAGUCCUACUCUCUAGUUCAAGGUGUGCAAAGGAGAGCAGAACAAAAGUCUACAAAGAAUCCUGAAUAAUUACAGACAAAAAAGAGUCAACCAAUGCCCAAACAGACAAGACGUUGCUGCCACCACAUAUGGUAACCAAAAGGAAGACACGCAUUUGUAGCGUCCAGCCAAUGUAAAGUAGUAAUUUGGACUUUUUCCAAAAGUUGCAUAAUAGAUUUAGCUUUAUUAGAGAACAAUAUGUGAUUCCUUUCAUUCCAUAGCACACAAACGCUGCAAAAACGACCGACGGAGUUUAAAGCUUCCUGUGGAAUAAGCAAACUGAGAAAAAUGAUCCAAAAUAUGUUGGGAAUACACUGAAUGAAAACCAAUCCAAAUUUUGACUUGUUGCUAAAGCACACUGAAAAUAGGACAAUGAAUUAAGAGAUGAUAUGCGUUUCAUUAUAACCACAUCCGGACUCACAUUGUUGAGCAUCAACUGGGAUGUUACCUCUCCGCACCAAAUUGUCUUUUGUAGGCCACCUGUUGCGGAGAAGACGCCACACACAAAUAAUUUUAAUGGUCGACCCGUAUAUAUUUUUUCUUUUAAAUUUCUAGCUUCGUCAUUGGUGUUUUUAUUAGAGAUCAAUUAAUGUAUUAAAGCUCUUCUAAACUUGAUUUAAGGCUAACGAUUCGGGCUGUUUUAGAUAUACGAGGGUGAUGUUUGAAGGUGAUUUGUUUAUUCUUUGAAGGAAAUUUUGGAUACAUGCUAGAUAUUAUAUAAAGGCAAAUGUUAACAUAUGCCCUAAAGGCACAUGCUAAGAAAUUUGAAAUAGAAAAUUACAUUUUAGUAAAUCCAAACAAUCAAUUCUUUGUUAUUAAAUUAUUAUUUCGAGCUCCCUAUGGGACAUUCAUGUACCUGAAUUCAGCGCAUUUGGUUGAAGAAAUACGAACAAAAACUUGUGUGUAUUUUGUUAGCAACUUUAUAUUAAAAGAAUACAUGAAGAAAAGUGGCAAUUUAACAAAAGAAAAAGGAAAAAAGCAAAACACAAGCUAGUGGAUAAAAUUACUCUAAUAAAAAGUUGGUGAGGAAUUGAGAUAUGGUUGUGCUCUAUAAUUGACGGAAAUCACUAUAAGUGAGUCUUUUCUUCCUCUCAAUGUUUUCUUUGAUUUAUAAUAAACUAGUAGUUGAUACUUAUUGCACGUAACCAACGUGUAACGUACAUAUACAAUUACUUAACAAACUCAUCACUUUGAACUAUUGUUGAUAUUUUUAACUUUUUAAUUCUUGCAGUUAAUUUUGAUAUAUACUUACCAUUUUUCAACACAUGGCAUACAAAUUAUAUGGACGUCAAUCAUUAUUGACAUAAGACACCUAGUCACAUCAAUAUCAUUUUUUUAACAUCAAUCACAUUCCAAUUGACGUUGAUAUCUAAACUUGUCUCAACGUAACAACCUAUAAAUAUAGGUGGCAUUUCACAUGGGAAAGGUUAAUCAUUUCCCACCAUGGGAAAGUUGGAUUCAAUGAUUAAAUUAAGUGAAGAACAUAUUCUUAAUAUGCUCUCUCAACACUAGAUUUUUCUUCACACUAUCUUCCAACAAUUUAAAAAUUUCAAAAAUUAAUUUUCAAAAAUUAAAAAAAUCGAAAAAAAUUCAGAUAAUUUUUUUUUUUAAAUUCUGUAAUUCAUUUAUUGAAUGUUAGAAUUUUUUUUUUUGAAAAAUUGAAAAAAAAAUUCCAGAAUUUUAUUUUCUUAGAAAAAUAAAAAAAAAAUUAAUUUCAAAAUAUUUUUUUAGGAUUUUUAUUUUAUUUUUCAGAAUAUCUUAUUUUAUUAUGAAAUUAAAAAAUACAUUCUUUUUAAAAAAAUAAAAACUUAUCUUAGUUUCCAAAAUUUUAUUUUUAUUGAAAUAAAAAAAAAAUAAUCUAACAUUCAAUAAAUGAAUUACAGAAUUUUAAAAAAAAAUUAUCUGAAUUUUUUUUAUAUUUUUUCGAUUUUUUAAUUUCUGAAAAUUAAUUUUCAAAAUUUUUAAAUUGUUGGAAGAUAGUGUGAAGAAAAAUCUAGUGUUGAGAAACAUGUUAAAAAUAUAUUCUUCACUUAAUCUAAUCAUUGAAUCCAACUUUUCUAUGGUGGGAAAUGAUUAACAUUUCCAAUGUGAACACACACCAUAAAUAUAAUAAAUCUAUUUUGUUCUAGUUUUCUUUAUUUGUUUUUAAUAACUCUCCGACUUCUGUUUUAUGUAAUUAUUUUUUUAAUGAUCCCACAUUUUUCUUAGACAAAUAUAAUCCCUCUUCUUUUUUACCAACACAUACAAUAUCACAUUGCUUAUUGAUAGAAACGAGAUAAAGUCUUAAUUAAUAAAAAAGAACUAACUAAUUUAAUAUAUUUUACUAGAUUAGUUGAUAAGUCAGGUAUUCCCGGCCACAAGCAAAAACGGUAGUUUCUUGGUCAUGACCAGCUAAAGCUAAAGUUCUAUUAAAGAGCGUUUCCACGUGGUAGAACCUCAUCAGGGAGUAUAAAGCUUUCAUGAGGUUGAUCUUGAGCCGCCUUCCACGCACGAAUACCUUCAUUUAGGAAAGUAUUUUUGGUGUAGAAAGUCUCAAAUUCAGGAUCUUACACUGCAAGGGUUUCUUAAGAAAUGAAGUCGUAGACACAUAAGUUCAGGGCUAGACUGGCUACUCCAAGAGAAUUCAUCCAUAAACCAAUUACUUAGUUACUGGUAAAAAUAACAUAGAGAAAUGUAACUGACAUUUACUGGAAAAAGGAACCCCAGAUUUUUGUGACCAAAAGUGGUUAGCGGUGAUCAUUGAACAAGUUUUUUCCACUUGAGUUGGGUUAAAAGCACAGAAUGUAUUUGCGCCACCAUCAUCUUCAAAUAAUGUAUUUUCUACUAACACUGUGAAUAGUCAAGAUUGUUACAUUAUCUGGACAUAAUUAAAAGAUGUUUUUAUAUAACUCUGUAAAAGGGUAAUGACUACUCAAUGAUAUAAACACACAUUAAAUUAAACAAGUACUUGUAUAUUUUGGAGAAUAAAUGUGAAGACAUAAGACUUCUCAUAAGGGACAGUUAUUUAGUGUGACAAUAUUUAGAGGUAGUAGUUGAUUGGUUUGUCGAUUUCUUAUAUAAAAAAGAAAUAUAGAAAGCAGUGGAAGUAGCAGUAGUGGAACUAUUUUCUAAACAACGAAAAAGACAAGUUGAUUUGGUUUAUCGAAUAGGAAAACUUGGAAUUGUUGCUUCAAUUAGUAAAGAAUGGGAUAAAAGGGACUUUAUAAACUUUAAUGUUCUAGUUUAUAUUUAUUUAUUAUAUAGUUGUAUAUGUGGUGUGUCUAUGAACACAUGGAAAGCCCUCUCUACUUUAUGCAAGAGAUAAAAAGCUUCGUAACGGUAUCUUAAUGGAUUCAAUAUUUGUAUAGAAUUAUAAUAUUUUACUAAUUCAAUAGUAAAAUUUUGAAGCUAUACUAGGUUACGUAUUAUAUCUAAUUCUUGGAGAUUAUUGUAAUAUGAAGGCGCAUGGUUUCUACUUUUUGGACCAAAGAGAAAAGACAUGUGGGAUCAAAGUGGAAUCUCUUAUCCGUUUUCGAGAAGAAGUUUACUAGAUUAAUUCAUGUCAAUUGAAAUUUGGUAUAGGACAAGAAUAAAAUGACUAUUACUAUUUUUACCCUAUAAGUUUUUCACAAGUUCUACUUUUUAUCUAACAUUUGUAUGGAUUAUAUAAUCGAAAACUUUUUAUAGUGAUUUUUUGGAUUUUACAAUCUGGAACCUUGUAUUUGUUAGUUUGUUUGGUUAAGAUCACAUAGUAAUCAAGUUAGUUUUGUUUGUUAUGAAAUUAGUUACAUUUUUGCUAGAUUUUAGCAUUAUGUUGUUAGGGUUUGAGAGAUGACUUGUUUCUCAAGCAACUCAACAACACCUUGUAUAAAAGCAAUUGUAUUGUAUGAUUCACAUCUAAAUGAAAUCACAUACUUCAUAAUUCUAAUCUCCUCAUUCUCUAUUUCUUCUUAUUCGCUCAAUUCCAAUAAAAUCAAAACCCUAGCUUGAAGAACAAGCUUUGAAGCUGCGCUAACAGUAUUGCCUAGAUUUUUAGAACAACAUUGACAUAUAAUGUUAAAAAGACAUAAUUGAAAAUGAUCAAAAAUAAAAUUAGUUUAAAGAGACAAAAAUGAAUCAAAUUUUCAUUUUAUUGAUGGAUCAUAUAUUUCGUAUUACAUUACAUUAACGUUGAAGCUUAUUUCACAAAAUUAUUACACAUCUUUUACAAAUUAUUUUUUAUUAAACACCUAAUGCUAAAUUUGUGAGGGAAGGAGACUCGGGUAAGGUUUCUUUUCUCUCUAGGAAGAAUGAGACGUUGAUGGUCAACCUUACGCCCAAACAGAUUAACCUUACCUCCGCACAGAUGGUGCAAAUUUACAAAGUGACACAUUGCCCUUUAACCAUUCAAACAGCCCUUAAAAUAUUAGAGUAGUCUUUUUUUUUUUUUUUUUUAUCAAAGGCCAAUGGUGGAGAAGCACAUAUUGCAUGAUUUUUCGGUAGUCCAUAUUGCAUCGACGGUUUCUGUGGUUCACAAUGCACAAAAACUUGUAUAAAUAGAUGUGUUUGGCUCAUUUAAUGUAAAAAAAAAAAACACAAAGUUAUGAAAAAUUAUCUAGUAGAUCUAAACACCGAGAGGUUGUCAUGAACUUAAUCUUACUGCCCUACCAAUAGACCUAUGUCAGUUCACAUGACAGCAUGAUCAAGCUCAAAAAAAUAUCUUGAAACACCUUAUAUGGCACCUUAUAUGAGUGAUGAACUUAUAUCAUCGCUCAUCUUAUUAUGUUAUUUUACAUCAUCACUCAUCUUAUUACGUUGUUUACGCUGUUGAAUUGUGUCAUUUAAUUUUUUUUUGCUAUGAACAUAUAUGUAAAACUCUUAAAACCUCAAGUUUUAAAACAGUUUGGGAUAAAUAUUUAUAUUAUAUAAUCCGAACUAUCUUUGAAGAUUUCAAAUUAUAUAAUCUGAAGCAUCUCGGAUUGUGGAUGGUGGCGUUACAACCUAUGGUUUGGACGGUUUGUUAUGCGUUUAAUUUUAUUUUUAGUCGGUUUACAUUUUGUAAACGUUUCCUUUGAUUGUACCUCGACUCUGCAUAUUACAGUGAAUUAUCCGUACCAAUUGUAAUAUGCAGAACCGCGGUUUGAAUCUCAGACGCCUCACUUAUUCAUCUUUAUAGAGGUUAAUUUCUAACGAUAAAAUGUUUGAAAUUAAUGGGAAUGACAUAAUCCCUCAACAUAUGCUUAAAGUUUAAACAACUCAAUAAUUAAAAAAUAAUUAAAAAUUUCUUUUUUUUUUUUUUUUUUGUACCUUAAACAACUAUAUCUACCUUAAAUGGAAUAAUGAAAGAAACAAUUCUUCUGGGACAAAUUAUUAUUGCAAAUGUUACACCGAAAACGGUUAUAUGUUUCAUUAUGCGAUAUGAUAUGCCUAAGGGUCAUAAUACAGCUCAUAUACAUAUACAAGGACUCCUAGAGUACAACCAAUGUAUAAUUAUGUAUGACUAUUGACUAUACCAUAGUCAUACAAAAAUUCAGCUAUAUGGCAGUCAUAAUAUUUGAGUGAUAUAGCAAUGUUUGACUGCCAAAUUAUUUCAGUUCAAAAUUGUAUCUACAAAAGAAUAUCAGAGUGAUUCUUUCACUGAUUAGUCAGAAAAUAAUACUCGUACACUGAUUUUUACCCUAAAAAAUAAUAGUACAUUGAUUUUAUAGUAUGAGCAAAAAGUAAGCCAUGUAGCUUUAGAUCAGGUUCCCCGCCGUAGAAAAAUCCUACACUUACAUGCAGUUUUAGAUCUCAGCCAUCGAUUUCAUAUGUCGGUUUUUAUUACAUCUUCAUAAAACAAGUACUAAACAAUCUCUACCAUUGAUUUAAUAUCCGACAGCUAAUAUUCAUUAUAGCGACAAGAUGUAACUGUGUGUGACCCGCAUUUGAUUUUUAGGCCAAAUGAGUUAGCGUUAGACAUGACUUAUUUUGAGUUUGGGAGACAAUUGUUGAUUUUGAACGACAUAAAUAAUUGGUGUUAUGUAUUCUUCAACGAUACAUAUUCGUGCUACAUAAUUGGUCAUUUUAGACAUUCGAUCAAACAACUCAUGUUUGAAGAUUCAGCGAGUAAAAUAAACUUCAAAAUUUAAUCUUAGAACGGGUGUCAUCUAAUCGUUAUGAGGUAAAUGUAGAUUUCUAACCGGUGAUACAUAUAUUAAUAAUAAGGGUAAAUUACACUGACCUCCCCUGAAAUUUCUUUAAAUGACACAGACACCUCCUCUAGUUUCUUAAUUAGUACUAACCUCCCUUGAUAUUAAACAUUGUUUAACUUCUGUCAAAUUAUAUUAAGGAAAAAAACAAAAAACAAAAAAGCACUCAUGUUAAUGUUGUCUUUUCAUCUCCUCAAAGCCCAAAAUUUUCAUUCCUCCAUGGAAGCAACACAAAUGAAGCUCAUGUAUGUCUCUUUGAUUCUUGUCCAUUCCAUUCUCGUACAUCAUGCUUUUGUGGAUAUAUAUUUCUCUGUUCGUUUUGCUGGCAUCAAAAUCCAGGAUCAAAAAAAUGUCAGUUUCAUGGCACAAUUUAUUUGAAUAUUAAGUUCGUCCCAAACCCAUUUGCCUUUGGAAUAAUCACAAGAUUCAAUUGGUUGAAAUUUUUGUGAAUUGUUUGGAGGAAUAUGUGACAAGAAAUCAAAGCCAAAAAAACCUUUCCAUUGAAGGUUACAAAAAAUGGCUAAUAGAACGAGGAAAAAAAGCUUAGAAUUAAAACGGUUUGCAGAUUUUUUUUUUUAGGUAAGAAUUGUUUGCAGAUAUUCUACGGUUUAGUAGAUGAAGAUUAUCAUAACUAGAAAUAGAAAAAGUAGUGACUUUAAUUUUAACGGAUAAUUAACGGUGUUAAGUUGUAAAGGGAGGUAUCUUUCUAAUUAUGAGACUUUGGAGGAGGUUAAUGUCUAUUAUAAAAUUAGAGGGAGUGUUUGUUUCAUUUAAGAAAACUACGAGGGAGGUUAGUGUAAUUUAUCCUAAUAAUAAUAACCAAUGGAAAUUAAACUUUUAUACUAUUAACACCGGAAAAUAGAAAAACAUACAUAUAUGAUAUAUACAAAAGACAGUUUUACAUAGCUCCAAAACCAUAGUGUGAAUUAAACACUAUUCAUUACAAAAAGAGCAACAUCAUAAGCACCACCAACACCUCUCCAUAUUGAAAAACCAUGAUCCAAUAGGGAGCAAAGAAAAAACCACAACAUCAUAGUAAAUCAAAUCACGUGCUAUCAAAACCAUCAUCACGUGAAUUUUUACUUGACAAAGUAGUAAAAUGUAAAAGGUGUUUUUACAUAUGUCAAAAAAAGAGAGAAAUCCUUGACUAAUUAAAUAGAUGGAAAAAAAAUUAGUCCAGUUAAAUCUCACUGGUUGAAUUGAAUCUUAAUAUCAAUUCAAAUCAACUGUCCAAUUUUAACUGGGACUAAUAAUAUUCUAUCUAUUGCGGGAGUUGUUGUAAGGUGACUGAAUCGCGGCUAAUUUUUGCUGCAAGUUGAGAUUUUUAUAAAACCUUUUAAUAAAUUCUUCAGCUGCAACAUCAACAUGACUAUGAUCAUCACCUUCUUCAUCCUUUAGGGGAAAAGGUGAAUCAGUGACUCUAAUUUUUUUCCCAAUGGGACUCUUUCCAAAUCCAGGAAAUGCCACUAAAGGAGAAGGAGAAGAAAAAGUAGCAUCAACAUCAUUGAGGAUUUCUAGAACCUUUUGCAUGGUGGAAACAUCGUUGUGGUGGCAGC
rnacentral:lncRNA from 1 species